CCCGGUCCAUCAACCUCGCUCUGUCAGGCCGAGUCCCCCGCCUCCUCCUGAGCCCCCUUCCUGUGCCACCAGCGUCAAAUAGGGUGCCCGAAACUACCCGGGAGGCAAAAGGAAAUGAAACUGCUUUUCAGGCAAACUGUCAAAAAUGGGUAAUUCAUCAGAAAAUUCCCCAGAGUGGGUACCUUUCAUUUGUUCAGCAUCUUCUUCAUCCUUAAAAAGGCUUGGAAGCACCUUUUCCCAGUGUA